AUAUGCCGCCCAGUUUCAGGUGCCUCCUGCCGCCGUGCAGGAGGUGAAACGGGAAACCGGUGCGCCCCUUUUCGGGCAAGUCCGGUGCUGCCCCCGCAACGGUAAGCGAGUGCUGCAUUCAACAGGCCACUGUACCCAAGGUAUGGGAAGGCGAAUGCCGCCAGACUCGCAAGCCCGGAGACCGGCCUGUGACGUCUGUUUGGCA
rnacentral:ncRNA from 16 species